rnacentral:misc_RNA from 1 species
CAGCAGGUUGAGAAGUUGAGGGAAAUGAGUCCACUUUAUGAAAUGGUGAAGGAAGGGAUUGAUAUUAAGCAAAUUCAGUGGGCACAACACUGACAGGUAAUUAUAGGAUAAACUGCUAUGGAUAUAGGGUAAUCGACACAAUUUGGGAUAUGGGUUGCCCGCUGAAUGAGUAUACCCCAUUGAGCUGAGCUGCCAAAGUGGACUGCUUUUAAAGGUGUGUCAUACUGGUUCUUACUUUCUGCCGUCCUUGUAUAUACCCUUGCAAAGUUUCCUAGUUUAACUAGGGUAAAAUUUUGGCACACGGUGUUUCUUGAAUUAUAUGAAAGUUAUUUUGCUCUAGGCAUAAGCAUUCCAUAAUUUGACAACAGGAAUAAUGAGGUGUGCUUGUAAUGCAGAUGUAAUAGUUAUUUUCUGUUGUAUCUUUAACCUGUUGAUUUCUGUUCUGUUCUGUUCAUGAGGCAAAUAUCGCAAAGAGUAUAGCAAUCAUUUCA